rnacentral:rRNA from 1 species
GCGUUGUUCGGAAUUACUGGGCGUAAAGGGUUCGUAGGUGGCCAACUAAGUCAGACGUGAAAUCCCUCAGCUUAACUGGGGAACUGCGUCUGAUACUGGAUGGCUUGAGUGCAGGAGAGGAAUGCGGAAUUCCAGGUGUAGCGGUGAAAUGCGUAGAUAUCUGGAGGAACACCGGUGGCGAAGGCGGCAUUCUGGACUGCAACUGACACUGAGGAACGAAAGCCAG